ACUCCUACGGGAGGCAGCAGUGGGGAAUAUUGCACAAUGGGCGCAAGCCUGAUGCAGCCAUGCCGCGUGUGUGAAGAAGGCCUUCGGGUUGUAAAGCACUUUCAGUCGUGAGGAAGGUGGUAGUGUUAAUAGCACUAUCAUUUGACGUUAGCGACAGAAGAAGCACCGGCUAACUCCGUGCCAGCAGCCGCGGUAAUACGGAGGGGGCUAGCGUUGUUCGGAAUUACUGGGCGUAAAGCGCACGUAGGCGGAUCGGAAAGUUGGGGUGAAAUCCCGGGCUCAACCCGAACUGCAUUCAAAUCAUNUCGGUCUGGAGUUCGAGAGAGGUGAGUGGAAUUCCGAGUGUAGAGGUGAAAUUCGUAGAUAUUCGGAGGAACACCAGUGGCGAAGGCGGCUCACUGGCUCGAUACUGACGCUGAGGUGCGAAAGCGU
rnacentral:rRNA from 1 species